rnacentral:rRNA from 1 species
AUUGAACGCUGGCGGCAUGCCUUACACAUGCAAGUCGAACGGCAGCACGGGGCAACCUGGUGGCGAGUGGCGAACGGGUGAGUAAUGCAUCGGAACGUACCUUUCAGUGGGGGAUAACGUAGCGAAAGUUACGCUAAUACCGCAUAUUCUGUGAGCAGGAAAGCAGGGGAUCGCAAGACCUUGCGCUGAUUGAGCGGCCGAUGUCAGAUUAGCUAGUUGGUGAGGUAAAGGCCCACCAAGGCGACGAUCUGUAGCGGGUCUGAGAGGAUGAGCCGCCACACUGGAACUGAGACACGGUCCAGACUCCUACGGGAGGCAGCAGUGGGGAAUUUUGGACAAUGGGGGCAACCCUGAUCCAGCCAUGCCGCGUGAGUGAAGAAGGCCUUCGGGUUGUAAAGCUCUUUCGGCCGGGAAGAAAUCGCACGGGCUAAUACCCUGUGUGGAUGACGGUACCGGAAUAAGAAGCACCGGCUAACUACGUGCCAGCAGCCGCCGUAAAAC